AAUGGCGCCACUAGGGUUGUGC
rnacentral:ncRNA from 5 species